rnacentral:tRNA from 1 species
GCCCUGGUAGUGUAGUGGUCUAGCAUCCAGGCCUGUCGAGUCUGUGACCCGGGUUCAAAUCCCGGCCAGGGCG